rnacentral:rRNA from 1 species
GACAGAGGUGCCAAGCGUUAGGCGGAAUCACUGGGCUUAAAGCGUGUGUAGGCGGAUCGUUAAGUACCUUGUGAAAUCCCACGGCUCAACCGUGGAACUGCUGGGUAUACUGGCGAUCUUGAGCCACCUAGGGGCAGACGGAACAAGCGGUGGAGCGGUGAAAUGCGUAGAUAUCGCUUGGAACGCCGACGGUGAAAACAGUCAUGCUGGGGUGUGGCUGACGCUGAGACACGAAGACCAGGGGAGCGAACGGG